rnacentral:rRNA from 2 species
GCAGUCGAACGAAGCUUUCUUUCACCGAAUGCUUGCAUUCACCGAAAGAAGCUUAGUGGCGAACGGGUGAGUAACACGUAGGCAACCUGCCCAAAAGAGGGGGAUAACACUUGGAAACAGGUGCUAAUACCGCAUAACCAUGAACACCGCAUGAUGUUCAUGUAAAAGACGGCUUUUGCUGUCACUUUUGGAUGGGCCUGCGGCGUAUUAACUUGUUGGUGGGGUAAUGGCCUACCAAGGUGAUGAUACGUAGCCGAACUGAGAGGUUGAUCGGCCACAUUGGGACUGAGACACGGCCCAAACUCCUACGGGAGGCAGCAGUAGGGAAUCUUCCACAAUGGACGAAAGUCUGAUGGAGCAACGCCGCGUGAAUGAAGAAGGCCUUCGGGUCGUAAAAUUCUGUUGUCAGAGAAGAACGUGCGUGAGAGUAACUGUUCACGUAUUGACGGUAUCUGACCAGAAAGCCACGGCUAACUACGUGCCAGCAGCCGCGGUAAUACGUAGGUGGCAAGCGUUGUCCGGAUUUAUUGGGCGUAAAGGGAACGCAGGCGGUCUUUUAAGUCUGAUGUGAAAGCCUUCGGCUUAACCGAAGUAGUGCAUUGGAAACUGGAAGACUUGAGUGCAGAAGAGGAGAGUGGAACUCCAUGUGUAGCGGUGAAAUG